CAAGAGCUAGUUGGCUAUCUUAUCUCGCAUGCUCCGAGACACGGGGUUGAUGAACAAAGUGCAACAGGUUCUGAAUAAAUAUGGAGUGAGGGAUUCCACAAGCCUUCUGGAAGACCUGUUGAAGGAGAAAAGUGGAAUACGUUUUGAGGGAAUAUGGAAUGGGGGAACCUUUGGAAGAGCUACAGAAGGAAGAUCAGUCGUCCUGGUCCCUUUGCAGAAAAACAGCCCCAAAGCAUGAUGUUCCACCCCCUGCUUCACAGUAGCAAACUUCAGACGGGCCUGGACAUGUACUGGCUUAAGCAGGGGGACACGUCUGGCACUGCAGGAUUUGGUCCCUGGUGGCGUAGUGUGUUACUG